rnacentral:SRP_RNA from 1 species
UCGUGCUAGGUGGGGAGGUAGCGGUGCCCUGUACUCGCAAUCCGCUAAAGCGAGACGGAACUUUCCCUAGGUCUUGUUAUCGUAGGGUCUGCCCUAAGUAAGUGGUGUUGACAUUUGCUCCACGCAACGGAAACCCAUGAACCCUGUCAGGUCCGAAGGAAGCAGCAGUAAGUGGACUCUUCCGUGUGCCGUAGAGUUGCCUGAAUCGAGCAAACUGCUUAGGUAACGCCUGGGAUAACUUGAUCAAAGGAAGGUGCACGG